GAUGAACGCUGGCGGCGUGCCUAAUACAUGCAAGUCGAGCGAACAGACGAGGAGCUUGCUCCUCUGACGUUAGCGGCGGACGGGUGAGUAACACGUGGAUAACCUACCUAUAAGACUGGGAUAACUUCGGGAAACCGGAGCUAAUACCGGAUAAUAUAUUGAACCGCAUGGUUCAAUAGUGAAAGACGGUUUUGCUGUCACUUAUAGAUGGAUCCGCGCCGCAUUAGCUAGUUGGUAAGGUAACGGCUUACCAAGGCAACGAUGCAUAGCCGACCUGAGAGGGUGAUCGGCCACACUGGAACUGAGACACGGUCCAGACUCCUACGGGAGGCAGCAGUAGGGAAUCUUCCGCAAUGGGCGAAAGCCUGACGGAGCAGCGCCGCGUGAGUGAUGAAGGUCUUCGGAUCGUAAAACUCUGUUAUUAGGGAAGAACAAAUGUGUAAGUAACUAUGCACGUCUUGACGGUACCUAAUCAGAAAGCCACGGCUAACUACGUG
rnacentral:rRNA from 1 species